GACGAACGCUGGCGGCGUGCUUAACACAUGCAAGUCGAACGAAGAGCGACGGAAGCUUGCUUCUAUCAAUCUUAGUGGCGAACGGGUGAGUAACGCGUAAUCAACCUGCCCUUCAGAGGGGGACAACAGUUGGAAACGACUGCUAAUACCGCAUACGAUCUAACCUCGGCAUCGAGGAUAGAUGAAAGGUGGCCUCUACAUGUAAGCUAUCACUGAAGGAGGGGAUUGCGUCUGAUUAGCUAGUUGGCGGGGUAACGGCCCACCAAGGCGAUGAUCAGUAGCCGGUCUGAGAGGAUGAAGGGCCACAUUGGGACUGAGACACGGCCCAGACUCCUACGGGAGGCAGCAGUGGGGAAUCUUCCGCAAUGGACGAAAGUCUGACGGAGCAACGCCGCGUGAGUGAUGACGGCCUUCGGGUUGUAAAGCUCUGUUAAUCGGGACGAAAGGCCUUCUUGCGAAUAGUGAGAAGGAUUGACGGUACCGGAAUAGAAAGCCACGGCUAACUACGUG
rnacentral:rRNA from 1 species